GUAGGUGAACCUGCGGAAGGAUCAUUCAUAAUUGUUUGUUCUUCUACAACAUUAGUUCAGUUGCCAGCAAUGGCAAGUCUACCUAUUCUAGGUUUUUGCUGUUAGCAAACCCCUAAAUAUCUUAAAUUUUCAACGAUGGAUAUCUAGGCUCCUAUACCGAUGAAGAACGCAGCGAAAUGCGAUACGCAAUGCGAAUUGCAGAACCGCGAGUCAUCAGAUCUUUGAACGCAAGUGGCGACGGAUUCGUCCGUCAUGUUUGUCUCAGUGUAUCCGGUUAAUUACAUCAACGAGCUUAAUGUGAUUGAGUUGCUCUCUCACCAAGCACGCAGCCGCUUCAGCGAAGCGCCUAAUCGAAGCAGUCACUAACUGGUGAUCGUCGCUUAGAGCUCUAGCUGGUAAACAACGGCUGGGAAGGAACUUAUCCACUAAUGGUACCUGAGAUAGGCAAGGCUACCCGCUGAACUUAAGCAUAUCAG
rnacentral:rRNA from 1 species